rnacentral:misc_RNA from 1 species
UUGAAAAUUGCUAUUCUAAGAAACAUUACACCUCUUCCAUGUUGACUUCAAGUGUCUAGCGAAUGAUAAAAGUAAACUUAAAAGCACUUAUUUAAGCAUUUACCAUUUCAACAAUUAUAAUGUUUGGGCCCUCUAGUAUAUAUAUAAAAAUGAGUAUCAUACAAAAGGUUGGUGAUUAGGCAACUCUUUAUAAUCUCUAUUUCCAUAUUUCCUCCCGUUUUUCUCUCUUUUUCUAGUUUCAUUUUUUAAAAUCAUUUUCAUAUUAAAAUGAUUAAUUUAUUAUGGAA